ensembl:lncRNA
GGCUCAUCCCAUCUUCCUGUUUAUUUCUGAUGAGAGCAAUGACCGCGUCUGCACGGCGCGUCCCAGCCCUGCGUGCUCACAGCCACAUCCAGCCGGGCCCAGCUGUCCCUCGAGGGGAUGCCACGUAUCCCCCCCAGCCAUUGGGAUCCAUUGGGGUCUGGUUUUCCUCCACCCUGCGUCUCCCCAGCACGAUGGCUGUGCUCAGCCCCAGUGGCUGUGCAAAGCUUCUGUGUGGAACGAGAUUUAAAGCAGCGCAGCAAAGAGGUGAUAGAAAAACCAAACUCUAUUAAAAACCCAUUUUCUGCAGGACCACGAAGCCUUUUGGUGCCGCUGUCCUGGCCCUGCUGGGGCUGCUCGCAGCUGGCUGAGCAGAGGCAGGAAGGAGGCUGUGAGCACUGAGACACAUAGCUGUCCUCAACUCAGCAGGGCUUUCUGCCUUCCCUGAGCUGCCCUGGGUGUUUUGGGGCUAGUGGAGCACAGAAAUGUGUUGAUGCUCCCAUGGGAAUGAGGGUCACCUGGGUACUUCUGGGUGCAGCCCAGCAUUCCUGCUACAUAUCCUUCUCUAACAGAGCACAUUUCUGUGCAGGAGGAGGACAAACUCAGGCACAUCUUUUCUUCCUCCAACAUUAUUUCCUGUUCUUUUAUUAAAGCAAGAUGUUGCUGGCAGAUCUCAUGCUCCCUUCCCUGUUUUUCCAUCAAAUAACUCUGCAGAGGAACAUCUGGAAACAGCCAGUGAAUGGGAUAUUCCUGCCUGUGGCAGCAGAGAUACUGGUUUCCCUACAGUGGUGGGGGGCAACCAGUAAAUGCCAGCUGGCCGCAUGGUCACUGUCUCACUCUGUGGUGACAGGGAUGGCAGUGAGGAUGGGGACGUGCUGGUGUUGCACCCUGCGUAGCAAACCGGAGAAGGAAAGAGGAGGACGAGCUGCCACGUCUUCAAUUGGAUUUAGUUCCGCCCCGAGCUGCUUUUCCUUUUGGUUUACUCAUAGCACUGCCGCUGGUGGGGAGCCAGGAUCGGAACAGAGGCACUGAGCCCAGCCCAGGUCUCUGCCAAAGAGCUCAGACCCCAUAGAAGUGACCAAGCAGCCGCAGGUUUAGGGGGAGUCCUUCCCCCCGAAUUGCGCCUUGUCAAUAAGCCAAUGGGAUGAGCUCACUCUGCAAAUCCAGGAUGUUGUAACCACCCUCGAAGGAAUAAGGAAUCGCUUAUGAUGACACGGCUGUGGGCGUGCAGCUGCAUCAGCACCCCCCCUUCACCCAGGCCCAAAUCCGCUGCACCCCCAGCGCAGGGCACGGUGUGCCCAGCUGUCCCCAGCACAGGGCAGUGAGCUGCAGAGACAGUGACGCACGUGGAACCCAUCCUCCACCACCACCAUCCCCGUGCCACCGUGGGAGCGCUGGGGACAGCGUGUCCCGUGCAAGCAAUCACGCUCAGCUCUGCUGUCAUUGCUGCUGCCUGAGCCCCGGCAAUGCUUAUGAAUAAAUGAAAGGAGAG